GAUUGAACGCUGGCGGUAUGCUUAACACAUGCAAGUCGAACGGAAACGAUACUAGCUUGCUAGUAGGCGUCGAGUGGCGGACAGGUGAGUAACGCGUAGGAAUCUGCCUGAUAGUGGGGGAUAGCCCGAAGAAAUUCGGAUUAAUACCGCAUAAUCUAUUCGUAGUAAAGUGGGGGACUUUCGAGCCUCACGCUAUCAGAUGAGCCUGCGUAAGAUUAGCUAGUUGGUAGGGUAAAAGCCUACCAAGGCGACGAUCUUUAGCUGGUCUGAGAGGAUGAUCAGCCACAUCGGGACUGAGACACGGCCCGAACUCCUACGGGAGGCAGCAGUGGGGAAUAUUGGACAAUGGGGGCAACCCUGAUCCAGCAAUACCGCGUGUGUGAAGAAGGCCUGAGGGUUGUAAAGCACUUUCAAUUGUGAAGAAAAGUUAGCGGUUAAUAACCGUUAGCCUUGACGUUAACUUUAGAAGAAGCACCGGCUAACUCCGUGCCAGCAGCCGCGGUAAUACGGAGGGUGCAAGCGUUAAUCGGAAUUACUGGGCGUAAAGCGUGCGUAGGCGGUUUAUUAAGUCAGAUGUGAAAGCCCCGGGCUUAACCUGGGAACUGCAUUUGAAACUGGUCAACUAGAGUAUGGUAGAGGAAAGUGGAAUUUCUGGUGUAGCGGUGAAAUGCGUAGAUAUCAGAAGGAACAUCAAUGGCGAAGGCAGCUUUCUGGACCAAUACUGACGCUGAGGUACGAAAGCGUGGGUAGCAAACAGGAUUAGAUACCCUGGUAGUCCACGCCGUAAACGAUGAUAACUAGCCGUUGGGGGGAUUUACCCUUUAGUGGCGAAGCUAACGCGUUAAGUUAUCCGCCUGGGGAGUACGGCCGCAAGGUUAAAACUCAAAGGAAUUGACGGGGACCCGCACAAGCGGUGGAGCAUGUGGUUUAAUUCGAUGCAACGCGAAGAACCUUACCUGGUCUUGGCAUCCUGCGAACUUUCUAGAAAUAGAUUGGUGCCUUCGGGAACGCAGUGACAGGUGCUGCAUGGCUGUCGUCAGCUCGUGUCGUGAGAUGUUGGGUUAAGUCCCGUAACGAGCGCAACCCCUAUCCUUAUUUGCCAGCACAUCAUGGUGGGAACUAUAAGGAGACUGCCGGUGAUAAACCGGAGGAAGGCGGGGACGACGUCAAGUCAUCAUGGCCCUUACGACCAGGGCUACACACGUGCUACAAUGGGAAGGACAAAGAGCCGCGAAGCCGCGAGGUGUAGCUAAUCUCAUAAACCUUUUCGUAGUCCGGAUUGGAGUCUGCAACUCGACUCCAUGAAGUCGGAAUCGCUAGUAAUCGUAGAUCAGAAUGCUACGGUGAAUACGUUCCCGGGUCUUGUACACACCGC
rnacentral:rRNA from 1 species